rnacentral:rRNA from 1 species
GGGACGAACGCUGGCGGCGUGCUUAACACAUGCAAGUCGAACGAGGCGCUUGCGCCUAGUGGCGAACGGGUGAGUAACACGUGAGCAACCUGCCCUUGGCUCUGGGAUAGCCUCCGGAAACGGGGAUUAAUACCGGACAUGACCUUCUCCUGCAUGGGGGAGGGUGGAAAGUUUUUCGGCCAGGGAGGGGCUCGCGGCCUAUCAGCUUGUUGGGGGGGUAACGGCCCACCAAGGCGACGACGGGUAGCCGGCCUGAGAGGGCGACCGGCCACACUGGGACUGAGACACGGCCCAGACUCCUACGGGAGGCAGCAGUGGGGAAUAUUGCACAAUGGGGGAAACCCUGAUGCAGCGACGCCGCGUGCGGGAUGAAGGCCUUCGGGUUGUAAACCGCUUUCAGCAGGGCGAAUUCAGACGGUACCUGCAGAAGAAGCGCCGGCUAACUACGUGCCAGCAGCCGC